AUGACCGUUGGGCGCUGCCCCCCGCCGAGAUCCCAGAUAUACCUCUUCUCCCACGCCACCACCAAGACGACGCUCUCACAUCUCCCGGUCCCCACGAACCCCCGCCCCUACCCCUCGACGACAUUCUCGUCCUCCCCCGUGCUCACGCGCCCCACGCUUGCCCUUGUCCCCGCGCGGCGAGCGGGGCGGCCGGGAGGUUUGAUCUGCGCCGCCAUGGCGAUGGACUUGGUGUCGCCCGGGCCGGCCGCGGCGGCCGCAGGGGAGGCGAAUCCGGAGGCGGUUAAGGGGGAGGAGGAGGAGGAUGUGGUGAUGGUGGUGGGGGAGGUCGGGGGACGGUGCGGCGGCGACGCCGUGGUGGUGGCCCCGGCCGACGCGGAGGUCGAGGGGCACCCCUACGCCUUCCACGUCUCCGGCCCGCGCAACCUGCCGCCGCCCAACUGGAGGGAGAUCAUCAGAUCGAGUUGGAAGGAUCCAAAUUACAAAAGGAUGGUAAUGGCAUGCUUCAUUCAGGCAGUGUACCUUCUUGAAAUAGACAGGCAAGAUCAGAAAGGAGAGGAGGAUGGCCUUGCUCCAAAAUGGUGGAAGCCCUUCAAGUACAAGGUCACACAGACACUAGUUGAUGAGAGAGAUGGCUCCAUAUACGGCGCCGUCCUUGAGUGGGACCGGUCUUCUGCAUUGUCUGAUCUUAUCCUCCUAAGACCAAGUGGCGCACCAAGGGCCGUGCUAGCUCUCCGAGGAACAUUGCUGCAGAAACCUACAAUUAAAAGAGACCUACAGGACGAUCUACGUUUCCUGGUUUGGGAGAGCUUAAAAGGAUCAGUGAGAUAUGUUGGCGCUUUAGAAGCACUGAAGGCUGCAGUUGAGAGAUUUGGGAGCGCAAAUGUUUGCGUCGCAGGGCACUCGUUGGGAGCUGGCUUUGCCCUUCAGGUAUGCAAAGAUCUCGCCAAGCAAGGAAUCUUCGUAGACUGCCAUCUGUUCAAUCCACCUUCUGUUUCACUUGCCAUGAGCCUAAGAAGCAUGAGCGAGAAGGCCAGUCACCUGUGGCAGAAAGUGAAGGCAAGCCUGCCAUUGAAGGAAGAAGCAGCGCUUGACUGUGCAAAAGAUGAGGGCAGCAUCAAGAAGAGACUACGUGCAGAGAAGAAAUGGGUGCCACACUUGUAUGUGAACAACAGUGACUACAUCUGCUGCCACUACAAUGCUCCCUCUUCCUCCGGACCCGACGGUGGUCCGGAUGAGCAGCAGCAGCAGCGCAAGGCGAGUGAGAUUGCUGGCGAUGUGGUCGCGAAGCUCUUCGUCACGUCGUCGAAAGGCCCACAGAAGUUCAUGGAGGCGCACGGGCUGGAGCAAUGGUGGUCGGAUGGGAUGGAGCUGCUGGCCGUGUCUGACAGCAAGCUUAUACACAGGCAACUGAAGUCUCUAUACUCGUCCACAGCAGUACCACCUACAAAGUCAUAG
rnacentral:rRNA from 1 species